GCUUCCUUGGCUCAGCUGGUAGAGCGUUGGUCUCAUAGUAUAUAUGAGGAUGCAUUGCAUCUGCAAUCCAAAGGUCGUGAGUUCGAGCCUCACAGGGAGCA
rnacentral:tRNA from 1 species